CCUACGGGUGGCAGCAGUGGGGAAUAUUGCACAAUGGGGGAAACCCUGAUGCAGCGACGCCGCGUGAAGGAAGAAGUAUUUCGGUAUGUAAACUUCUAUCAGCAGGGAAGAAAAUGACGGUACCUGACUAAGAAGCCCCGGCUAACUACGUGCAAGCAGCCGCGGUAAUAGGUAGGGGGCAAGCGUUAUCCGGAUUUACUGGGGGUAAAGGGAGCGUAGGCGGUGCAACAAGUCAGAAGUGAAAGCCCGGGGCGAAACUCCGGGACUGCUUUUGAUACUGUUAAACUAGAUUGCAGGAGAGGUAAGUGGAAUUCCUGGUGUAGCGGUGAAAUGCUUAGAUAUUAGGAGGAACACCAGUGGCGAAGGCAGCUUACUGAACUGUAAAUGACGCUGAGGCUCGAAAGCGUGGGGAGCAAACAGGAUUAGAUACCCGAGUAGUC
rnacentral:rRNA from 1 species